ACCACUAGGCCACCACGAUGUGGUUAAAUAUCCACAUAAUAUCACUUUAUCUUCCACCAUCCUAUCAUCAUCAUGGUCACCACCAUAGCACCUUUUUAUAUCCAUGAUCACAGUUUCCUCCGAAACCACAACCACCGAUUAUUUUAUAACCACCAUUGCUGAUCCGGUAACCGUCGUCGCUCCGAUAAUCAUCGCCCUUGCUGUAACAACCACCACCACAUGUUUCUCUACCGUCGCUUCAACCACCUCCAUUUCUUCUGUAACAACCAUCGCCUCUUCCAUAAUCACCAUCUACUCCUUCAUGAACAGAUCCAUCACACGUCCUCCAUCAUCAUAGCCGCCACGACCACCACUAACUCUGAAACCUCCACUACAUCUUUCCAUUCUACUCAACGUUUCUUCAUAACCACGUCGCAUAUUCUAACUAAAAGCGAGUGACGAAGAUGAGUUUGAUUCCAGUUGCAAAUGAGUAGAAAAUGAGGCUUGCCAUCAAGGUGUGUUUGUGGGAGUGAAGUGUCUAUAUAAACUUCGAAGACAAAAGAGAAUUUCGGUUGUCCGUUUUACCGGUGUGAAACAAAAGCCAGGUUGAUUGCUUGAAGAAGAUGAUUGAUGAGUUAAUAUAGGAUGUUAUUUCGACCAAGUUUGAGAUGAGGAAGUGGAAACUAAUUACUGAGACAUGUUGUGGAUUCAUUUGUUUUAUGUUUGUUGUGAUUGGAAUUGUCUAUCCCAUCUAUUGAGCUCUUGUGUUCUGGAAGCUCUUGUAUUAUGGAAGUUCUGGUAUGAAGUGGAAACUCAUUUGUAAAACUGUUUCAGAUAGUUGUAAGCAUCUUGAACUCUUGUAUCUUUGUCUCAUUUGAAAGACUAUUAGUCUAUGUUUGUGUUUGAACU